GAAAUAUUUGUGCCAUCACCGAUGUUUCAUUGACCAUCAGAGCACAUGUAGUUGCAUUUAGCCUUUUUAGAGACAAGAAAUUGACAUGCAGAGGUUCCCAAAGUAAGAUGACUGGACAGUAAUAGAACUGAAACAUUCUCCAAAGACCUCAAAAUGGAAUAUAAAAUUGUAUAUAAUUCUGAUUAAUAAUAAUUCUGAUUAAUUUCAACCUUGGGAACAUUGACAUAAAAAGAUCUCUUUCUUUUGCAGGAAAAUAUCUUUAAUUUAAGUCCUUUUCCUGCCCUGAUGGAAACAAGUUAUCCUUUCAGUGAUGAUGCUUUUACAAUCAGUGUUUCCUAGGGAGGACUCUGUCUGAUUCAUCUGCUACUACAAAGCUGAAGCGACCAAACAUUUGGUGCCCAGCUGGCUGAAGAUUAGACUGCAGAAAACUAUUUAAUAAAAUUUAAGUAAUUCAUAAUUUACCUCCCUUUGAACAGCAAGACCUAACUCAUGGAGAUGGGAAGAGUAGCAGUAAAAAGAAGCAAUAAUGACCAAGAGAAGACAGCUGUGGAUGGAAGGAGAGAAACUAGAACAAUAAAAAUGGAACUACUGAGUAAAAAACAAAACAAAACAAAAAACCCACCAAAAACAAAUCUAGCAUUAUGAGUCUGC
rnacentral:lncRNA from 1 species